rnacentral:rRNA from 1 species
GACGAACGCGGCGGCGUGCUUAACACAUGCAAGUCGAACGCUGAUGGCCCAGCUUGCUGGGUGGAUGAGUGGCGAACGGGUGAGUAACACGUGAGUAACCUGCCCCCUUCUUUGGGAUAACGGUCGGAAACGGCUGCUAAUACCGGGUAUUCACUGUCCUUCGCAUGGGGGGUGGUGGAAAGGUUUUUUCUGGUGGGGGAUGGGCUCGCGGCCUAUCAGCUUGUUGGUGGGGUGAUGGCUUACCAAGGCUUUGACGGGUAACCGGCCUGAGAGGGUGACCGGUCACAUUGGGACUGAGAUACGGCCCAGACUCCUACGGGAGGCAGCAGUGGGGAAUAUUGCACAAUGGGCGAAAGCCUGAUGCAGCGACGCCGCGUGAGGGAUGGAGGCCUUCGGGUUGUAAACCUCUUUCGCUCAUGGUCAAGCCGCAACUUGGGUUGUGGUGAGGGUAGUGGGUAAAGAAGCACCGGCUAACUACGUGCCAGCAGCCGCGGUAAUACGUAGGGUGCGAGCGUUGUCCGGAAUUAUUGGGCGUAAAGGGCUUGUAGGCGGUUUGUCGCGUCUGCCGUGAAAUCCUCUGGCUUAACUGGGGGCGUGCGGUGGGUACGGGCAGGCUUGAGUGCGGUAGGGGAGACUGGAACUCCUGGUGUAGCGGUGGAAUGCGCAGAUAUCAGGAAGAACACCGGUGGCGAAGGCGGGUCUCUGGGCCGUUACUGACGCUGAGGAGCGAAAGCGUGGGGAGCGAACAGG